GACGAACGCUGGCGGCGUGCCUAUUACAUGCAAGUCGAGCGAAUUUACGAGAGCUUGCUCUCGUAAAUUAGCGGCGGACGGGUGAGUAACACGUGGGCAACCUGCCUAUAAGACUGGGAUAACUUCGGGAAACCGGAGCUAAUACCGGAUAAUUCUCAUCUACUCAUGUGGAUGUGCUGAAAGACGGUUUCGGCUGUCACUUAUAGAUGGGCCCGCGGCGCAUUAGCUAGUUGGUGAGGUAACGGCUCACCAAGGCCACGAUGCGUAGCCGACCUGAGAGGGUGAUCGGCCACACGGGGACUGAGACACGGCCCAGACUCCUACGGGAGGCAGCAGUAGGGAAUCUUCCGCAAUGGACGAAAGUCUGACGGAGCAACGCCGCGUGAGUGAUGAAGGUUUUCGGAUCGUAAAACUCUGUUGUUAGGGAAGAACAAGUACCAGAGUAACUGCUGGUACCUUGACGGUACCUAACCAGAAAGCCACGGCUAACUACGUGCCAGCAGCCGCCGCCG
rnacentral:rRNA from 1 species